rnacentral:lncRNA from 1 species
UGGUUGUUGUGAAUCUCUGAAGAGAAUUCAAUUUACUAUGCAGUUGAAUAUUUACUGGUAUGAAUACAUAUUCCCUGAUAGCUGUUGUAAAAGUAAUACAGAGUAAUGGUGGUGGUAAGUUCACAAAAAGGGUAUUUGGUAUUUGUUAUAAUGUUAUUUUAAUAUGUGAUAUUUCAUAGUGCCUUAAUCAUGUCUACUUUUAGGAUGGGCCUGGGCUUCGUCUUUGGGCCAGCUCAGGUACUGAGAGUCUUGACUCAUUCAGUGAUAUUAAUAAUAUUUCUGUUCAUUUUAAUUAAUUAAUUGAGGCACUGAUAUUUAAAUUUUAUUUUUUGUUUUAAAUAGAUAUAUACCUUUUUUUUUUAUAAGUUAAGUUUUUAUUAAAAUAAAAGUAGUUUGAAUAUAUUACAUAAAAGCUAAAAAUUGUUACCUAUCUUUUACAAGUUAUUUUUGAUGAAAUUGUAUGGUUGAUCCAUAUCAUCACACACAAGGCGAUUCAUGGUCUAGUGAUGUAACAUAUUUUCCUCGCUGCCAAUCUCUGUUUUCUCUUGUGCUUGUUUGGCCUGAAAAUGAUCUCCGGCCAUCAUCAGGAGGGUCUCCUUCAAGAUCACUGACUCCCUUCUUGAUCUUCCUUUUUUGUACCAGGUGUUCCUCUCCCUCCAAACUUGUCAUGCUAACGUAGUAACGCCGUUGUAGCACUCCAAUCUCCAGUGCAGCCCAAGCUAAAUGAAAAUUUGGGCUCUAAAAUAUUGACGUAGAAAAAUAAUUAGAGACGGCUUAACUCUAACCUCUUCUAACCCUAAUCCUUAAUUAGGGACAGUCAGAGCCGUCCCUAAGAUAAUAACCUUUUUUCGAUUUAUGCAGAUUAAUAACGGAAUUACCUGCACACACUUAAGUACACAAAUGGUUGUAUAAUAAUAAUAGUAUAAUAUUGUUAGUAAUAUAAUACUAUUAUAUUAUUUUAAAGAAU